UGAUGUCUUACAUUGAUUGUAUGAACGUGCCAUCGAUUACAAUGAUUGGAAAGUAAUGGUGCCAUGCUUGAAUGGAUGCUCCAAUGGCAAAGAAUAAAUACUUGAAACGACCAUUUGUUUCCAACUCCAGGGCUGUGACGGAACCUGAUAUGAAAUUUCAGCAAUAUCAUUAUAAUUACAAGUAGCAUAUAGUAUCCAAACUUGUAGAAAAUGGUAACCAUUUAUAUGGUUAAUGGUA
rnacentral:lncRNA from 1 species